rnacentral:rRNA from 1 species
UACAGAGGUCUCAAGCGUUGUUCGGAUUCAUUGGGCGUAAAGGGUGUGUAGGUGGCGCGCUAAGUCGGGCGUGAAAUUUCGGAGCUUAACUCCGAAACUGCAUUCGAUACUGGCGUGCUUGAGGACUGGAGAGGAGACUGGAAUUCAUGGUGUAGCAGUGAAAUGCGUAGAGAUCAUGAGGAAGACCAGUGGCGAAGGCGGGUCUCUGGACAGUUCCUGACACUGAGACACGAAGGCCAGGGGAGCAAACGGG